CCUACUAAUGAUGCAGAGAGGAUUAUCAUGGUUCCUACACAAGGAUGAUAUGCAAAUUAAUUAAGUGUUCCAUUUAAGG
ensembl:snRNA U6 U6 spliceosomal RNA